rnacentral:rRNA from 1 species
AAACUCAAAUGAAUUGACGGGGCCCGCACAAGCGGUGGAGCAUGUGGUUUAAUUCGAUGCAACGCGAAGAACCUUACCUGGGCUUGACAUCCCGGGAAUCCCCUUGGAAACAAGGGAGUGCCCUUCGGGGAACCUGGAGACAGGUGGUGCAUGGUUGUCGUCAGCUCGUGUCGUGAGAUGUUGGGUUAAGUCCCGCAACGAGCGCAACCCCUACGUUUAGUUGCUAACGCGUGAAGGCGAGCACUCUAGACGAACUGCCGUUGACAAAACGGAGGAAAGUGGGAUGACGUCAAAUCAUCAUGCCCCUUAUGUUCUGGGCUACACACGUGCUACAAUGGCCGGUACAGACGGACGCAAAGCCGCGAGGUGGGGCAAAUCCUAAAAAGCCGGUCUCAGUUCGGAUUGCAGGCUGCAAUUCGCCUGCAUGAAGUCGGAAUCGCUAGUAAUCGCAGGUCAGCAUACUGCGGUCGAAUACGUUCCCGGGCCUU